GUUGGUAGAUUCAGCUGUGCUGGGCAUCCUGGCUGAGUAACAGAGACAGUGAAUGUAAACAAUUAAGAUGUUCUAAUAAAGGAACCCAAAGAGGGUCCCAGAGGCUAGAAUAUCUACCUCCUGGGGGCAAACAGAGGUUUCCUAAGAACAUGUCAUCUGAGCAGAGUCCUCAAGUAAGACUAGGAGUUGCAUGGGGAGAGGAGGGGAAGGUAGGCCUGCAGACGGCUAGGUGAGCACAGGCACGGGGUGUGGAACAUUUAGCUUAUGGCAAGAGCAGAGGGUACAAAGGAAGGAGAGAGAGGAGGUGGGAUGGGAAGGUCAAUUGUGCCAACUAAGAUUUUUUUCCUGUAGUAAGGGGGAGGGAGGGCCUGAAGGACUUUAAACAGGUGAGCCAUGCAAUCAGCUGUGCUUUGGGAGGAUAGCUCUGGUGGUGACAUGGAGCCUUGAGGAUGGGACUAUACGCAUGAGACUGGGAUCAGAGUGGAGGCAGCUGGCAAGGAGGCAGUCAGGAGACCCUACUAAUAUAGGGAAUCCAAAUGAAGGAGAAAAAUCAUGAUGGCACAGCUAGAAACUAAUAGAGAAGAAAAAAUACCCCAGGCAUUUUGGCCUUGUUUUACAACAUAUUUCUUAGCUUUUUGAUGGCAAUGGAAGCUUUUUUGAAGUUGUCUUUUGUUUCCUGCCUUUACUGUAUGCUCUGAAUUCCCUUCUCUUUCAUGCUUUUUGGUUUGCAUCUAUUCUUUCAUAUUGGAGGCUUUGCUCAAACAUUCUGUGGACCUUAUCUGUUUGCAUAUAUUUAAAUGCAAGGCACUGAAAGACAAAAGACCUAUUCAAGGCAGAGUACAAAGUGGACCAGGGCAGGCUGAUUUCUCAACCUCUCUGUCGUGAGUUGACUCGUGUACUCCCAAAAGCUAUGUUGAAGUUCUAACCCCGGUACCUGUGAAUGUGGCCAUGUUUGGAAAUAGGGUCUUUGCAGAUGUUAGUUAUCAAGGUAAGGUGAGAUCAUAUUGGAUUAGAAUGGGCCCUAAAUCCAAUGGUUUGUGUCUUUAUAAGAAGGUCAUGUGAAAACACAGACACAAAAGAACGUUAUGUGAAGGCAGAGGCAGAGGAUGUCAAGAACUGCUAGCAGCCAUCAGCAACGAGGAGAGAUGCAUGGAACGGACUCUCCCUCAGAGCCUUCACAAGGAACCACCCCUGCUGACACCUGAAUUCUAGCUUCUAGAACUGUUUUCUUAGUGUGAAAUAUGAACUCAUGAGCAUCUGGCCUGGGAACUGGACCAGUUUUAAAUCUCGUGUUGAGAGCCGGAAGAUGCUGGAGAAGGAAUGUGGUGGAAUGACUGCCUGAGAAUGAACCAUUCUCCAGUGAGAGGGGGCUUCGAUAUUGAAAGGGCAAUUUGGCCUUAACUUGGAAAUGCUGGAGAUUGAUUGCAUACAAUCUGUCCUGCUAGUGAGAGAAGCAAGGACUGCAUCUAAGUGCAACAUGAAGACUUUUGGUCCCAAGCUUUCCUCCAACUUCAGUGGGAGGCAGCCCAAAACCACCGUCGGUUCAAGAAUACAAGUGACCUGCAAUUCUUGGAAAGACUCCCCCAAUUCUUCUCCCAAUAUGUGGUCAGCUUUUCCAGCAGGAUUAGGGAGGGAGGAGUUUCAGCUGUGCUUCUAAGAUCUUCCAGAAUGAAUUUUCUACCUCAAAAAUCAAGGACUUUUCUGGAAACUGCAGUCAGAGGACAGAACAUCAGCCUCAAGCUGUAGGAAAAACAUUUAUUUUGUGGUGGGGUGUGUACCUCAGUAUUCCCUGUGCUAGAAGAAAAGAAGCACUUUCAAGGAAGGUGGGUAAGGUUUUUUCCCCCUUUUCUGGAAACCAGCUGAGAAACUUUGCCUUGGAGCGCCAUCUAGAGGAAGCCUCAGCACACACACGCUGUGCUUUCUUAGCCUUAUGACAUGACCCAGGUUGAAUCCAAUGGUUGGUACAUGAGAAAUGGAAAUGUAAAGGAGAAGGCCUGCCAGUUCCUACGAAUGAGAAAUGAUCUUCCACCAUCACUAAGCACACUUACGGUUAACAUCGCGAACAUCAGCUGACACACGUUGAAGCUCCAUGAACAUCCGGAGAGCAGCUGUGAUCAUGGCAUCAACGUCGAGAGAAAAGUCAUCAAAAUGAAUGUCAUCGAUGGCAAGUUCUGACACCAGAGGGAUGUUGGCUGCCUAGAAAAGCAAAAGACAUAAGUCAAGCCAAGUUCACCAGCUUUCCCAAACCCCCAUCCUGCUCUCCUCCCCUGCUUAUCAGAAGUGCCACAUAAAUCAGGCCUGACCUGCACUUACACCCUGAUACAGCUAAACUCUGAGCUGUAAAUGUCUUUUGUUUCUGAACUGCAAAUGCCCCAAGCAAAUGAAGGUGGGGGCAGGGUUGGGGGCGGGGGGAGGGAAACUAAUCUGAAGAUAAAAUACACGCACUGGAUCUAGCCUGCAGAAUUUAUAAUACAGAACUGUCAAGUUUAUGGAAACUGUGGUCAUACAAUAUAUUCUGAUGCAUAUUACAGAGCACUAAAUGCAAGAAACAUCUGGGCAGCCAGCAGCUGUGAAUUUUAAUUGAUGCUAUUCAGGAGAAGGAGAAGGGAAUACACCACUUUGCCUUGUUUCUUAUAUCCUUAUAUCCUGUAGCUUGCACGUGUUCUUUGUUACACACGUGUUCUGUAUAUUCAGAAUGAUCGAAAGGAUCAGACAGCACAUCUCUGGUGGGAAAUAUGUUGCCUUAAUAAAAUAGAGAUAUCUGAAGGUUUAGCAUAAGCCUAUGUUUCACUGAGGAGAUCAAUUUUGCUUUCUUGUUUAGCUUCAUUCUAUAUAAACAUCACAACAUAAUUACAAUACUGGUCAUACAUAUUCAAGGUUUUCAAAACACCCAUGUUAGGCAACUGUCAAUCAGCUGCCCACAAACGAGCCUAAAGAGGAGAA
rnacentral:lncRNA from 1 species